rnacentral:tRNA from 1 species
AGUCUUUGUAGUACAUUCAAUACACUGGUCUUGUAAACCAGAAAAGGAGAGCAACCAAUCUCCCUAAGACUC